rnacentral:snoRNA from 1 species
UGUCUGUGAUGCAUUCAAAUAUUUGCUACUCUUGAGUGUUCAAUGACGACACCUUUCCACCAAGAUCGCUGAGACG